GUCCGGGGAGUGGCGUUGGCUGCUGGAGCGAUGCUGGGCCGGAGUCGCGUCGCCUUAGUCCUCCUGGCUGCCGCCGUCAGCUGUGCCGUCGCGCAGCACGCGCCGCCGUGGACAGAGGACUGCAGAAAAUCAACCUAUCCUCCUUCAGGACCAACGUACAGAGGUCCAGUUCCAUGGUACACCAUAAAUCUUGAUUUACCACCCUACAAAAGAUGGCAUGAAUUGAUGGUUGACAAGGCACCAAUGCUAAAGGUUAUAGUGAAUUCUCUGAAGAAUAUGAUAAAUACAUUCGUGCCAAGUGGAAAAAUUGUGCAGGUGGUGGAUGAAAAAUUGGUAAGAAAUAUUAUUUCCCACAAUAAAUGUUAAGCACAUAGAAAAUGCACUGGUAUUUAUUUAAAGGCAGAAUUCAGCAACCUCUUUGCAGGGACCUGGGCAAACCUGCAUGAAUCUAGCUCACUGUCAGAACUUCAGAGGGACUUAAAUUUGGGGAAUUGGUAAUAUUAGGGUAACAGCAUAGCAAAUUAUGGGUUUGUAAGAGGGGAUGGGACUACAUUACGACAUUGGGCAGAUAAACAUAUUUCAUCUGGGAGUGUCGUAUUUCCUUCCCUUUAUGUGAGUUCACUAUUGAAGACUUGGUUUUUUUUCUUAAGUAUCUCAGGGA
rnacentral:sRNA from 1 species